UACGAGGGUUGCAAGCGUUAUCCGGCAUUAUUGGGCGUAAAGCGUUUGUAGGCGGGCGAGUGUGUUUAAAGUUAAAUCUUUAAGCUCAACUUUGAAAUUGCGUUAAAAACUGCUUGUCUUGAGUAUGGUAGGGGUAAAGGGAAUUCCCAGUGUAGCGGUGAAAUGCGUAGAUAUUGGGAAGAACACUAAACAGCGAAGGCAAUUUACUAGGCUAAUACUGACGCUGAGAAACGAAAGGUAAGGUAGCGAAACGG
rnacentral:rRNA from 1 species